GCUUAGCCGUAAACCUAGGUAAUUAAAUAACAAAACCAUUUGCCUGAGAACUACUAGCCACCGCUUAAAACUCAAAGGACUUGGCGGUACCCUAGACCCUCCUAGAGGAGCCUGUUCUAUAAUCGAUAAACCCCGAUACACCUCACCCCUUCUAGCUUAUCAGUUUAUAUACCGCCAUCGUCAGCUCACCCCAACAGGGUUCCAAAGUGAGCAAAAUCAUGAAACCAUAAAAACGUUAGGUCAAGGUGUAGCAUAUGAAGGGGGAAGUAAUGGGCUACAUUUUCUAUACUAGAACAUAACGGAUUGUCUAUUGAAACAAAGACAUGAAGGAGGAUUUAGUAGUAAAUUAAGAAUAGAGAGCUUAAUUGAAAUAGGCAAUAGGGUGCGU
rnacentral:rRNA from 1 species